UACGAAGGGUGCAAGCGUUAAUCGGAAUUACUGGGCGUAAAGCGUGCGUAGGCGGUUGGCUAAGUCAGAUGUGAAAGCCCUGGGCUCAACCUGGGAAUGGCAUUUGAAACUGGCCGGCUAGAGUGUGAUAGAGGAUGGCGGAAUUCCCGGUGUAGUGGUGGAAUGCGUAGAUAUCGGGAGGAACACCAGUGGCGAAGGCGGUUGCCUGGAGCUUUGCUGACGCUGAUGCGCGAAAGCGUGGGGAGCGAUCCGG
rnacentral:rRNA from 1 species